rnacentral:rRNA from 1 species
UACGUAGGUGGCAAGCGUUGUCCGGAAUUAUUGGGCGUAAAGCGCGCGCAGGUGGUUCCUUAAGUCUGAUGUGAAAGCCCACGGCUCAACCGUGGAAGGUCAUUGGAAACUGGGGGACUUGAGUGCAGAAGAGGUUAGUGGAAUUCCAAGUGUAGCGGUGAAAUGCGUAGAGAUUUGGAGGAACACCAGUGGCGAAGGCGACUAACUGGUCUGUAACUGACGCUGAGGCGCGAAAGCGUGGGGAGCAAACAGGAUUAGAUACCCCCG